AGGCAGCAGUAGGGAAUUUUCCACAAUGGACGAAAGUCUGAUGGAGCAACGCCGCGUGAACGAUGAAGGCUUUCGGGUCGUAAAGUUCUGUUGUUAGGGAAGAAACAGUGCUAUUUAAAUAAGAUGGAACCUUGACGGUACCUAACGAGAAAGCCACGGCUAACUACGUGCCAGCAGCCGCGGUAAUACGUAGGUGGCAAGCGUUGUCCGGAAUUAUUGGGCGUAAAGCGCGCGCAGGUGGCUAUGUAAGUCUGA
rnacentral:rRNA from 1 species